CGGCAUAACUCCGGGAAACUGGAGAUAAUUCCGAAUAGGUCAAAUAUGCUGGAAUGCUUUUUGGCCAAAAGACUUCGGUUGCCUAAGGAUGGAUCUGCGGUCUAUCAGGUUGUAGUGGGUGUAACGUACCUACUAGCCUACGACGGAUAUGGGUUGUGAGAGCAAGAGCCCAGAGAUGGAUUCUGAGACAUGAAUCCAGGCCCUACGGGGCGCAGCAGGCGCGAAAACUUUACAAUGCGGGAAACCGCGAUAAGGGGACACCGAGUGCCAGCAUUUAUGUUGGCUGUCCACAUGUGUAAACGGCAUGUGUUAGCAAGGGCCGGGCAAGACCGGUGCCAGCCGCCGCGGUAACACCGGCGGCCCGAGUGGUAAUCACUUUUAUUGGGUCUAAAGGGUCCGUAGCCGGUUUGAUCAGUUCUUCGGGAAAUCUGACAGCUCAACUGUUAGGCUUCCGGGGAAUACUGUCAGACUUGGGACCGGGAGAGGUAAGAGGUACUACAGGGGUAGGAGUGAAAUCUUGUAAUCCCUGUGGGACCACCAGUGGCGAAGGCGUCUUACCAGAACGGGUCCGACGGUGAGGGACGGAAGCUGGGGGCACGAACCGGAUUAGAUACCCGGGUAGUCCCAGCCGUAAACGAUGUUCGCUAGGUGUCAGGGGCGGUGCGACCGCUUCUGGUGCCGUAGGGAAGCCGUGAAGCGAACCACCUGGGAAGUACGGCCGCAAGGCUGAAACUUAAAGGAAUUGGUGGGGGAGCACUAC
rnacentral:rRNA from 1 species